rnacentral:lncRNA from 1 species
GAUUCGUUUAGAAUUUAGUUAGGAUUUGACUUAUGAUUUAAAUAAGGACUAUUAAGAUUAUAACUAGGAUUAAAAUAAGUUUUGGUUGAAAUUUAUUUAAGAUAUAUUUUAGAUUUUAUUUUAAUACUUUGUUUGAAUUUCUUUAUGAUUUUUUCAUGCUUCUUUCGUAAUUGGUUUGAGGUUUCUUUGGAUUGAUUAAAGCUUGAUUAAUAUUA